UUGUAAUUGCACUUAAGUCUUCAAACUUUUUCUUAUUUACCAUGUGCCCUUCAAACUUUUCAUCCUUUGCAAUUUGGUCCUUCCAACAUUUCUUUAAUUCCAAUUUGCUUUUAUUUCCUUUCCUUUACACUUGAAAAACUAAAAUAUAAAAUUUACACUUCACCAAGGUGUCACCAUAAUAUUUAAAUAUAUACUUGCUCGCUCUAGCUUAUUUAUUAAAGACACGUGGGCCCCAUUAACGUCGUUUUUUUGCAAAAUUCUUCCUUACUUCCACUUUCCCACUUAGAAAACUUGUACAAAUGACACAUUCUACAUGUAAUAUAGUCAAUUUGACAUCGGUAUUAUUUUAAUAUUAUUUUAUCCAAAAAUUAUUAUUUUAUUCUAAAAUUUUUCACUUGUCUCCUCGAGCCCCAAAAUGUCUCACUUUGUCCCGAUUCACUUCUGAAUCACCUUUUAACCCGCUAAUUCAUCCUUGAUAAAGAUAUUAUUAUUUAAUUACUAUUUUCUCGCGUGUGAAAUAUUUUAUUCCAAAAUGCUCCUUUCACUCGUCAUUGCUCUUUGGCACUUAAAUUUACAUCGAUUGACUCUUCGUCUUAUUGAUAAGGUCUUAUUGGCUUCCAUACGAGGGUACGAGAUGUUACAAUUGUUGCCUUCAAUGACUUUAAAAAUAGACUCAAAAUCCUACUCAAAUUGAAAGUCCGAAAUAUGUUCUACUUGAGUUAUCGUCUCAACGCUGCAAUGCCACUCCCUUGGUGUUGUGACAUCGAGCUUUCUGUCUUGUAUCUCGUGCAAUCCUCUUCACGGCAUUACAGCUGCCAUACAUCCAAAGCCGCCAAAAAACUUGUGGAUUUUGCACACGUAAGUAUACAUAUCGAACAAGUAAUAUUGAUAGUAAGUCUAGAAUCAUAUCCCACAAAGAAUUUCUCUUAAAUCUUCACUAAAUACUAAAAUUAUAAAAAACUACUCUCAUUCAAGUAACUUGAUGUUUUAGAGAAUUAAUUAAAUCUAAUUUAAAACCAACACCAAAUCAAUUAGCAAAAACUAAAACUUCACUUAAAGAAGAGAAUAGAUUAAAACCUAGGAUUAUGGGGUCAUUAGCUUCUCUUAUUAUUUAUAUUCAUGGGUGGUUUUGCUAACCUAGAAACCAAAGCCAUGUACAAGUCUCCAUCGAGAUGCUUGGAUAAAUACCUAACUUAAGGUCAUUUUAUGUCUAUAAUAAUCAAUUAAAUAAGGUUCAUUAAGCUAGUGUUCUAAUUUGGCUAUGUACGACAAUUGGUGUGUGUCUACCCUAAUCACGAAUCAGAUCACCUAAGUGACGUGAACAUCACUAUUCAAAUCUUAGUCCAAUCUAAAAUCUCUUUGUUAAGUCUCAAUUAGAUUCACAUAUUAGUUAAUCGUUGGCCAAACAAUCAAAAGCAUUAAGAAUAGAUUUGAAUGAGCAAAACUAUACCCAUUCAUAGUAAAUAAAAGAAAACUAAUAUUAAGAUUACAUAUUAAACUCCACCAUAAUCCUAGAAAAGCAAAUUAGUUCAUAAUCUUUAAAUAAAACAUCAUCCAAAGAAAAUUAGUCAUUAAUGCAAUUCAAAAAAAAAAAAGAGAAACACAAAAUUAGAGAAAGAAACUAAUGAUUGAAGCUUUUAAUCUUGAUUCUCUCUCAAUUCUUGAUAACUCUAUUAUAUAGAGUUAUUUGAAAACAUUUUGGGGACUUAAGUAGUUAGAUCUUUGAGAGUUUAGGUGCGGAUUUUACCAUUUUAGGUAUUUUCCCAAUUUACGUUUGAUUACUUGUUAGGUGGUUAGUUUAUGUUAUUUUAGUAAAAUUUAUGUAAUUUUGUUUUAAAUUAAUUUAAGAGUAGUUUCUAAUUUCUCUUAUUGCUUUUGUAGGACAUUUGAUGAAAAAGACUCAUUUGAUGAAAACCAAUGCAAGCAUGGUGAUGGCUUCAUUCGUAUAUAUUUCGAUAUUUUGACCAUUUCUCUCUCUACAAAACUCCAAAUCAGGUGCUUCUUAGACCACAAGAAUUCUAAGAAUAAGGGAUACAACGUUUGUGUUUCCCAAUUUCCCUAGUUCUGCUCAAAUCAUGGUCAAAAUAUUAGUCUAAUUUGGAGCAUUGUAGUAGUAUUCAUGGACUAAAUAUGAUGCAGUAUUUGGAGUAUAUCUUUCAAUCUAGAAGUCCAAUUGACAUUAUUCUUAAUCCAUUGAAAAGCUAAGAGACAAGAAUACAAUUUUUAUGCUUACCACUUUUCCAAGUUCGGAGUAGAUCAUGGUGAAAAUCAGGCUUCGAAGUUGAUAGAUUGCCACAGCAUUGGGAGAACAAGGCUACGACACUAGUGAAAGGAAGCUCACCAUACAAUUUUCCAGAGAGCUCAACGCCGUAACACUAGAGAAGUAGUGCCAUAGCUGUCAUGACCCGAUACUCCCCUCGAGCCUGUGAUAACCGUCACGGUAUCCCGAUAGACAUUCAUUACCUGG
rnacentral:lncRNA from 1 species